GUUGGUCAAUCUCACUUUCGGGAUCCAAAUUCCUCGCCUCACCAAUGGAGUCAACAAGAACCAAUUCUCUUGUGAUCUUCCUCCUCUCCACUCUUGCCUUCUGCUUAAAUCACAACUAUGUUUCUUCUUCUUCGUCCCCAGAUCCAUCCCCUUUGUUCCCCCAACAAACGCUACCCACAAAAUCUGGCUACCUCCCUGUCAGCCAUGCUUCCAAUUCUGCCAUUUUCUACACUUUCUACGAAGCUCAGCAUCUCACUUCACCUCUAUCCCAAACCCCACUUCUCAUCUGGCUCCAAGGCGGCCCUGGCUGCUCCUCCAUGAUCGGUAACUUCUUCGAGCUCGGUCCAUGGCGCGUCACCAAAUCCCUAACUCUCAAACCCAAUCCUGCCUCGUGGAACAGAAUCUUCGGCCUACUUUUCCUCGAUAACCCAAUCGGUACUGGAUUCAGUGUGGCCUCGGAUCCUCAAGAAAUCCCAAGAGACCAGAAAUCUGUUGCCAAACACCUCUUUGCUGCCAUUACUAAGUUCAUUCAACUUGAUCCUGUUUUCAAGUACCGACCAAUUUAUAUAACCGGAGAAAGCUACGCUGGGAAGUAUGUUCCUGCAAUUGGGUAUUACAUACUACACAGGAAUUCUCGAUCGAAUGUUUCACAGAGAGUGAAUUUGGCAGGUGUGGCAAUUGGGGAUGGGCUGAUUGAUCCAGUGACACAAGUUGCUACCCAUGCUAAGAAUGCUUACUAUAUUGGAUUGAUCAAUGAGAGGCAGAAGAAUGAGGUGGAGAAGGCUCUGUCAGAGGCGAUCAGAUUGACCAAAUUGGGGAAUUGGAGUGCAGCAACAGAUGCUAGAAGCAAUGCUUUGAGUCUGUUGCAGAACAUGACUGGUUUAGCUACUUUGUAUGACUACACAAAGAAAGCUCCUUAUGAGAGCAAUUUGGUCACUGAGUUCUUGAAAUCCAGUGAGGUGAAGAAGGCACUAGGGGUGAAUGAAUCUGCUGUGUUUGAAGGUUGUAGUGAUGCUGUUCUAGCUAUAUUAUAUGAGGACUUAAUGAAGAGUGUGAAGUAUAUGGUGGAGUACUUGGUGAAGAGGACUAGGGUGCUUCUAUACCAAGGGCAAUAUGACUUGAAGUUAGGGGUGCCUCCCAGCGAGGCAUGGGUGAAGACAAUGAAAUGGGAAGGGAUUGAGAAGUAUUUGAAUGCAGAGAGAAAGAUCUGGAAAGUGAAUAAAGUUCCAGUAGGAUAUGUCCAACAAUGGGGAAGCUUCACAAGUGUUGUGGUUUUGGGUGGUGGCCAUCUUUUGCCAGCUGAUCAACCUCUGAACUCUCAAAUGAUGAUAGAAGACUGGGUUUUGGAGAGGAAUAUGUUUGAAUAUGAGAAACAAGGAAUAGUUUCUGUGAUUUAGUUUGACGCCUUGUAGAUUUUGUCGUUGUCAUUUUAUUGUGCCUGAGAUUGUGAUUCUUUGAAGUUUCUGAUAUGAUGUGCCCCUGCAGGGUUGGCUUAGCUCUGAAUCCCUGGAGUUCGGCAUAACUCAGUCUCUCUCUGAACUUUUAACUCGAUUGAAAAUGCGUCCGAUAUCCACAUUAUGGUGGCCGCAGAGGUGAGGCGUGGCCAAGUCCAUUUAUAUCGUCUCCGACGGAAGUCUAUCGACGGCGAACGCUAUAGUUUGGUCGACCUGUUCCUCGUCUCUGACAUCACAGUGAUGGUAACUCUCUUGAUGGGGAUAGUGAAGCUGCGAGUUGAUGACCCAG